rnacentral:misc_RNA from 1 species
ACAAACUUGGUCAUUUAGAGGAAGUAAAAGUCGUAACAAGGUCUCCGUUGGUGAACCAGCGGAGGGAUCAUUACCGAGUUUCCAACUCCCAAACCCCUGUGAACAUACCUGAACGUUGCCUCGGCGGGACCGCCCCGGCGCCCUCUGCGGCCCGGAACCAGGCGCCCGCCGGAGGACCCAAACUCCAGCUUUACCAUCCGGUGGCAUCUUCUGAGUCUCGGAAUAAUGAAUCAAAACUUUCAACAACGGAUCUCUUGGCUCUGGCAUCGAUGAAGAACGCAGC